UGGGGGAUAUUGCACAAUGGGCGAAAGCCUGAUGCAGCGACGCCGCGUGGGGGAUGAAGGCUUUCGGGUUGUAAUCCUCUUUCGCUAUCGAACAAGGCCCGCUUAGGGUGGGGUGAGGGUAGGUGGAGAAGAAGCGCCGGCUAACUACGUGCCAGCAGCCGCGGUAAUACGUAGGGCGCGAGCGUUGUCCGGAAUUAUUGGGCGUAAAGGGCUUGUAGGCGGCUUGUUGCGCCUGCUGUGAAAACGCGGGGCUUAACUCAGCGCGUGCAGUCGGUACGGGCAGGCUUGAGUGUGGUAGGGGUGACUGGAAUUCCAGGUGUAGCGGUGGAAUGCGCAGAUAUCUGGAGGAACAACGAUGGCGAAGGCAGGUCACUGGGCCAUUACUGACGCUGAGGAGCGAAAGCAUGGGUAGCGAACAGG
rnacentral:rRNA from 1 species